rnacentral:rRNA from 1 species
UACGUAGGGUGCAAGCGUUAAUCGGAAUUAUUGGGCGUAAAGCGUGCGCAGGCGGUUAUGUAAGACAGGUGUGAAAUCCCCGGGCUCAACCUGGGAACUGCAUCUGUGACUGCAUAGCUAGAGUACGGUAGAGGGGGAUGGAAUUCCGCGUGUAGCAGUGAAAUGCGUAGAUAUGCGGAGGAACACCGAUGGCGAAGGCAAUCCCCUGGACCUGUACUGACGCUCAUGCACGAAAGCGUGGGGAGCAAACGGG